AGGGUUCCUGUCCAACGUUAAUCGGGGCAGGGUGAGUCGACCCCUAAGGCGAGGCCGAAAGGCGUAGUCGAUGGGAAACGGGUUAAUAUUCCCGUACUUGGUGUUACUGCGAAGGGGGGACGGAGAAGGCUAUGUUGGCCGGGCGACGGUUGUCCCGGUUUAAGCGUGUAGGUGUGUGUUCCAGGUAAAUCCGGUUCACUUUAACACUGAGGCGUGAUGACGAGGCACUACGGUGCUGAAGCAACAAAUGCCCUGCUUCCAGGAAAAGCCUCUAAGCAUCAGGUAACAUCAAAUCGUACCCCAAACCGACACAGGUGGUCAGGUAGAGAAUACCAAGGCGCUUGAGAGAACUCGGGUGAAGGAACUAGGCAAAAUGGUGCCGUAACUUCGGGAGAAGGCACGCUGACACGUAGGUGAAGUGAUUUACUCAUGGAGCUGAAGUCAGUCGAAGAUACCAGCUGGCUGCAACUGUUUAUUAAAAACACAGCACUGUGCAAACACGAAAGUGGACGUAUACGGUGUGACGCCUGCCCGGUGCCGGAAGGUUAAUUGAUGGGGUCAGCGCAAGCGAAGCUCCUGAUCGAAGCCCCGGUAAACGGCGGCCGUAACUAUAACGGUCCUAAGGUAGCGAAAUUCCUUGUCGGGUAAGUUCCGACCUGCACGAAUGGCGUAAUGAUGGCCAGGCUGUCUCCACCCGAGACUCAGUGAAAUUGAACUCGCUGUGAAGAUGCAGUGUACCCGCGGCAAGACGGAAAGACCCCGUGAACCUUUACUAUAGCUUGACACUGAACAUUGAGCCUUGAUGUGUAGGAUAGGUGGGAGGCUUUGAAGUGUGGACGCCAGUCUGCAUGGAGCCGGCCUUGAAAUACCACCCUUUAAUGUUUGAUGUUCUAACGUGGACCCGUGAUCCGGGUUGCGGACAGUGUCUGGUGGGUAGUUUGACUGGGGCGGUCUCCUCCUAAAGAGUAACGGAGGAGCACGAAGGUUGGCUAAUCCUGGUCGGACAUCAGGAGGUUAGUGCAAUGGCAUAAGCCAGCUUGACUGCGAGCGUGACGGCGCGAGCAGGUGCGAAAGCAGGUCAUAGUGAUCCGGUGGUUCUGAAUGGAAGGGCCAUCGCUCAACGGAUAAAAGGUACUCCGGGGAUAACAGGCUGAUACCGCCCAAGAGUUCAUAUCGACGGCGGUGUUUGGCACCUCGAUGUCGGCUCAUCACAUCCUGGGGCUGAAGUAGGUCCCAAGGGUAUGGCUGUUCGCCAUUUAAAGUGGUACGCGAGCUGGGUUUAGAACGUCGUGAGACAGUUCGGUCCCUAUCUGCCGUGGGCGCUGGAGAACUGAGGGGGGCUGCUCCUAGUACGAGAGGACCGGAGUGGACGCAUCACUGGUGUUCGGGUUGUCAUGCCAAUGGCACUGCCCGGUAGCUAAAUGCGGAAGAGAUAAGUGCUGAAAGCAUCUAAGCACGAAACUUGCCCCGAGAUGAGUUCUCCCUGAGACUUUAGGUCUCCUGAAGGAACGUUGAAGACGACGACGUUGAUAGGCCGGGUGUGUAAGCGCAGCGAUGCGUUGAGCUAACCGGUACUAAUGAACCGUGAGGCUUAACCUU
rnacentral:rRNA from 1 species